rnacentral:lncRNA from 1 species
UCUCAUUUGGUUUUCUUUUCAAAGGUUCAGCUUUUUGUAUCUCUUAGGUCGAACAAUUGCUUUCUCUCUUUCCUACCAUGAGGUAAUAUUCAUCUAACAUUUUUUUCUUUUUUCGUGCGAUUGUUGCUAGGGGCUCGAUUUUGAUAAUCAAGGUGCUAGGUCGAUUACCCUGCCCCUAAAAGUGGUGUCUUCUUUAUUGGUUAGUACUUCAAAUCCUAGAUACAAUUAUGUGGGAUUGUAGAGUUUGAUGAAUUGGCUAACUAUUUCGUGUGAAGGUUGAAGCUUUG